rnacentral:rRNA from 1 species
AGCGAACGCUGGCGGCAGGCUUAACACAUGCAAGUCGAGCGGGCGUAGCAAUACGUCAGCGGCAGACGGGUGAGUAACGCGUGGGAACGUACCUUUUGGUUCGGAACAACCCAGGGAAACUUGGGCUAAUACCGGAUAAGCCCUUACGGGGAAAGAUUUAUCGCCAAAAGAUCGGCCCGCGUCUGAUUAGCUAGUUGGUGAGGUAACGGCUCACCAAGGCGACGAUCAGUAGCUGGUCUGAGAGGANGAUCAGCCACAUUGGGACUGAGACACGGCCCAAACUCCUACGGGAGGCAGCAGUGGGGAAUAUUGGACAAUGGGCGCAAGCCUGAUCCAGCCAUGCCGCGUGAGUGAUGAAGGCCCUAGGGUUGUAAAGCUCUUUUGUGCGGGAAGAUAAUGACGGUACCGCAAGAAUAAAGCCCCCGGCUAACUUCGUGCCAGCAGCCGCCGUAAG